CUUUUGUCCGGUUGAAAUAUGGAUUAUUUAUGACAAAAACAACCAGAGGAUUGAUUAUAAACAUUGUUUGACAUUUAAGCUUUUACAGUACUUUUUCAUGCUAGACAGUCAGGCAGAGUGCAAGGUUGAAGACACCAUGCUAGACAGUCAGGCAGGCAGAGUGUAAGGUUGAAGACGCCAUGCUAGACAGUCAGGCAGGCAGAGUGUAAGGUUGAAGACGCCAUGCUAGCCAGUCAGGCAGAGUGUAAGGUUGAAGACACCAUGCUAGACAGUCAGGCAGGCAGAGUGUAAGGUUGAAGACGCCAUGCUAGCCAGUCAGGCAGAGUGUAAGGUUGAAGACACCAUGCUAGACAGUCAGGCAGGCAGAGUGUAAGGUUGAAGACGCCAUGCUAGACAGUCAGGCAGAGUGUAAGGUUGAAGACGCCAUGCUAGCCAGUCAGGCAGAGUGUAAGAUUGAAGACGCCAUGCUAGACAGUCAGGCAGGCAGAGUAAGGUUGAAGACUCCAUGCUAGACAGUCAGGCAGAGUGUAAGGUUGAAGACGCCAUGCUAGCCAGUCAGGCAGAGUGUAAGGUUGAAGACGCCAUGCUAGCCAGUCAGGCAGAGUGUAAGGUUGAAGACGCCAUGCUAGACAGUCAGGCAGAGUGUAAGGUUGAAGACGCCAUGCUAGCCAGUCAGGCAGAGUGUAAGGUUGAAGACGCCAUGCUAGCCAGUCAGGCAGAGUGUAAGGUUGAAGACGCCAUGCUAGCCAGUCAGGCAGAGUGUAAGGUUGAAGACGCCAUGCUAGACAGGCAGGCAGAGUGUAAGGUUGAAGACGCCAUGCUAGCCAGUCAGGCAGAGUGUAAGGUUGAAGACGCCAUGCUAGACAGGCAGGCAGAGUGUAAGGUUGAAAACGCCAUGCUAGACAGGCAGGCAGAGUGUAAGGUUGAAGACACCAUGCUAGACAGUCAGGCAGAGUGUAAGGUUGAA